rnacentral:rRNA from 1 species
AAGCCAUAAAUGGCAGUCGAACGANGAGACCUUCGGGUCUCUAGUGGCGAACGGGUGAGUAACACGUAGGGAACCUGCCCGCGCACCGGGAAUACGCUCUGGAAACGGAGAACAAAUCCCGAUGUACAGGAAGGAGGCAUCUUCUUUCUGUGAAACAUCCUUUCGGGGAUGGGGCGCGGAUGGACCUGCGGUGCAUUAGUUGGUUGGCGGGGCAAAGGCCCACCAAGACGAUGAUGCAUAGCCGGCCUGAGAGGGCGGACGGCCACAUUGGAACUGAGACACGGCCCAGACUCCUGCGGGAGGCAGCAGUAGGGAAUUUUCGUCAAUGGGCGCAAGCCUGAACGAGCGAUGCCGCGUGAGUGAAGAAGGCCUUCGGGUCGUAAAGCUCUGUUGCGGGGGAAAAAAGGCAGCAUCAGGAAAUGGGUGCUGACUGAUGGUGCCCCGCCAAAAAGUCACGGCUAACUACGUGCCAGCAGCCGCGGUAAUACGUAGGUGGCGAGCGUUAUCCGGAAUGAUUGGGCGUAAAGGGUGCGCAGGCGGUCCUGCAAGUCUGGAGUGAAACGCAUGAGCUCAACUCAUGCAUGGCUUUGGAAACUGGAGGACUGGAAAGCAGGAAAGGGCGGUGGAACUCCAUGUGUAGCGGUAAAAUGCGUAAAUAUAUGGAAAAACACCAGUGGCGAAGGCGGCCGCCUGGCCUGUUGCUGACGCUGAGGCACGAAAGCGUGGGGAGCAAAUAGGAUUAAAUACCCU